GCGCCGGUAAAUAAAUAAACAUAAAAAAAAACAAGUCCUAGGAAAAACAAAAGAAAUAAAAUAACUAAUUGGAAUUGAUGCAAACCAGAGUCACUAGGAAUAAUGACUAACCUAGGACAACUUUGGCCUAUCGGUGGCCACAACAAAACUCCGGCAUCAGAAGUGCCGAUAUUUUCACAAGGAUGACGGUGAAGGCCGACGGCUGGUCGUAUCGAUUUAAUUGUGAAGGACCUAUGCCAAUCUAAUGCGAGUGCCAUUGCAUGUGGUGAAGUGCCUACUCUGCUUAAGCCGGGCGGAGCAAAUGCAUUUCCUCCUUGUUGGUUUUGAGUGGGGAAGAACCCACACUGUUUGAGCCGGGCGGAAGAAAUAUGAUUCUUUCAAGCUGGUAUCAGGUGGGGAAGAACCCUCGAACAUUCAGCCGGGCAAAACAAGGCUACAACUAAAUUUCAGAAAAGAUUUAAACAUAAAUUAAAUUUCUUGGUACAGA